rnacentral:lncRNA from 1 species
AUGACGGAGAAGAUCUGCCACUAGUGUUGCCAGCCACCGUAACAAGCUGUACAUUGCAGCCUUCACCAAGCACUACCAGUGUAGAAACGCAGGGCUAUAUUUUUGUGUCUGUGAGCGAUGGGCUAGUUUGUAUGCACAGAACCUGCUCUGUGAAAUCAUGGCCUAAUUUGUCUGACUAAAGUGCAGUUUUAGGGUGAACGUUACAUUGAGACAUAGCAACAUCAAAAUAGGCUACCAAAACAAGAAAUUGUGCCCAUGCAUGGAAUUAUUGCAGUACUUUAUCAUUGAGGAAUGUUAGACUUGUGAUCAUAUCAUGUCAUCUGAUUGUUUCAAAAAAGUGUAGAACAUGUGUCUCCGAAUUCGUACAUCAGGAAAGAAAUUGAAGAACGUUGCUUUCUCAGCUGUACUGUAAUCGUGUCACUGUGGACGUUUUUGAUGGAUGUUUUGAAAGUGUCUUGAGAUUGUGUACAGUUAUUAUGGAAUGGUGCUUCCAAAAAAUUUGACACAAGUAUCAGGGACUUAUCUAGGAAUUUAAACUUGCAUCAUAUGGUCCUUAAAAUGUGUAAACGAAUAGAAAUGUUAAAAUAGGUUAAAAUUAAAAUUAUUUUAUUGGGAAAGGAUAUGCCAUUGUGAAUUUGUAACCAAAAUUCUGUAUCGUUUGUGGGCUAUGAGGUGUUGUUAAAGCCUAGAUAAGUCUCUGGUGGUGUAUAAUAGAACCAGUACCCUGUUCAUAGUCAUUCCAGUGCAAGCAUUUCAGAUAGUGGACAGAUUCUAAUCUCAUAAAUAUUUUAUUUUGACUCCCGUGCAGUGUCUCUCAGUAGGAAGACCUGAUGACACCUUAGUGGAGGGACAAUGAGGUGAAGCAUUAGGAGACUUUUUGUUUAACCAAAGAAAUUUUAACUUUGACCAACAGACCCAUACUGUACACAAAUAUUUCUUUGAUGUGUUUGGGUGAAGGUGUCGCAGUGCUCAAAAAUGACAGUUUAUUUACUGUGGCGGUGACUGAGUUAAAUUUGGAACUGAUCCUUUUUAAUUCCUUGUCAAGAUAAGAGAAUGAAAUAUUCUGGUCUGAAUUUUCAAUUGUACCUUGGAUUCAUAAGUCUGGAUAUACACCCGGCACGACCUCCCAAGAGGAGUCAUCAUAUCUUCAUGCAGGGGGUAUUUGUAUUGGGGUUAAAGAUCAAAUUUUGUUGAGAUUGGACAGAUUGCAGCUUGCUAGCUAGGAUCCUUAGUGACAAGCUUUAACAAUCAACAUCAUUUGCCUCAGGACUGGUUGCGUCUGACUUGUUGCUUCCGAAAUCCACCGAUUAGUCUCUUUCGUCAGUAAUGUCCGACAGGCAGUUCCAACAUUUUGUAAACACUUAUUUACAGAUAAAUAUGCCAAAAUCCUGGCUUAUGAUGCUCAAAGUUUCAUCUGUUUUUGUGGCAAUUUUGUAGCCUGAAACAAAAUCGAACGUUUUACAUUAAUACUUUCUCAGGUUAACUUCUGUGCAACAUUACUCUUGCCUGAGAAGGUAUAUAAGUCUGUGCAAGUUUAUACAUUGAGGAAGACAAAAUAUUACCAUGGAAGAACAUGGCGCUGUCAUCUCAUGGUGUUGAAUGUAUGUUAUAAGAAUUGACAGUCCGCCCAGCCUGAAAUGUAAUACACCUAUUAGGAGCUGUUUGAUGAAGCUCUAGGGCAUUCUCGUUUGAGUAUACUUUCAUACCUUAGGGUGAUUUAAGACAGCUUUAAUGAAGGUGUGAUAACAUAGACAAGCCUAUUGAACUAUUCUUGUUGUCUUGAUCAACUUGAAAGUUAAUUUCCUUCAUCAAUUUCUUACACAUUUUCAAUUUUGUCAACAGUAUGACGUAUUGAUUUGGAAUGGUGAAGGGUAUAUCUUGUCUGCAUUAUCACACCACUCCAGUAAUGUCAUAACAUGUAGUGUUGACAUCUCAUUCAUGCCAAGCCACUAUCAUCCUCACCACACAGGGGAUGUUGCAUUCUGGUCAUACACUUACUAACCCUGGAUUCCCCUCUGAACCGUCUAAAGCAAACAUUUUCAGUCGGAUCAAUAUGCAUUAAUCACUAGACUGUGUGUCUUUAUAUCCCCUUGAAGGAAACAGUUUUUCGGAUAAUGUAAUGACUGUGCAUACGCUGUUUAACUGUUUGAUGAUCAGAGUGCAAUGCCUGAGGAUGUAUUUGUGUUUUAUAAGUACCCUUCAUCCUUAUCAUGUUAUCAGUCCACAGAUCGUGACAUGCUUGUGGCUGUUCCAACACUGAGACAAGGCUUCGGCCACUCCUAAUACAGAAUAGUAUAAUCCUACAUGCCAUGUCAGCAGUGCUUCCAAACAUGAAAGGUUUUGUUUUCUCAAUCAUCUGAUAAUGCAGUAAUACAGUGAACCUCCCAGUUCAAGGGAGGUAACCUGUGAAAGACUAUAGAAAAUUAAACAAGGAAAUUUGCCAGUCAAGAUUUACAUAAACAGUUACAUCUUCCAUAAUCAAAGAAGAUGUGUUAAAAGUCGUUUUUAUUUGUUUGGGAAUAAAACAUGGAAAUUCUUUGUCAAAAGAUAAGAGAUCUGAGCUUUAUUUCACUUAUUGUUAAGAUUCAGAUGACAUCUAGAGUGGUGGAGCGUCUAUUAUCAUUGUCUCGUGACUGGCUCAGAACAAUCUAUUUCCGAAUUAUCGGCAAAGAUAUCUUUUACCCCCCAGAGCUAUCAGCUUGAGACAACGAUCAAGUGUCUCAAUAAAAAAAAGAUUAUUGAAAUCUGUGAAGCAGUGUGUCGUGGCCUUGUCUGUGGUCUGAGGACAUCACAUUGGCUGCCACAAAUCUGUGACCAAUUGCUGUGUUACCCUACCUAGUCAUAUGAACAGUCGAAUCAUUACAUGGCUGUUGCAUGGUGUAAAUAUUGUGUAGUUACUCUGUUCCUUUUCAAUGUCAUAAUCAAACAUUUGUCAUUCACAUUGGAGUCUUGGAUCUCGCACGUGAACAAGGAUUUUGUCUGCAGACUGAGUUAUGGGUCCCAUGUUUUCAAAUGAAGCCACAUUAGAGGGUUACUUUGUUAAGGUUGAACCUUUGUUAACCAGUAACUUCCUUCAGUGGACAGUCAGUGAUCAGUUAGGUCCUCUAUCCAGGAGUCCUUUUUCUGUUUGUCUCAGAUGCUCAGUACUUAAAAUGAUUCUGAUGGAUUUGAACUGACCAAUUGACCCUGUGUUGAUACAGGGUUAGAAUAUAGGCCCACAGCAGACUAUGCCUGUCAUAUGAGGCCAUUAAAUGGAUCAGGUGGUCAGACUGAGUCAUUGUAUCCCAGCUGGUGCUCCUGAAGUUUCUGGUCCAGACUCGGUUAUUUACUAAUUGAUGUCAUAUUGCUCGAAUAAUUGCUGUCCACAGCAUUAAGCAAGGAACAAACAAACUGUCUGGAUUAACAGAGUUGUAUAUUAUAAAUUUCUUAAACAGCAAUAUCAUACCUUUGUGAAAUGGGGCCAACUUUUAAGAAAUUUGCAUCAAACUGUAACUUGAAAGAACACAUUUUCUGUGGUAGGGUUAAUAAAAAGAAUAAUUUGUUAAGGGAUUUGAAAGAUAGCUUCAUUUUGAAAUUCUAACACUCAAACAUGUCCUUUGUUAGCCUGUGCAGUUGAAAUGAUAAAAUAUGGAUCUGCUGGUGCUAGAGGAAGAACUCAUCUUUUCACAGCUAAUGUGGGGAAUUUGACUCACCAGAUUUUGGAUUCAUAUUCAAUAUGAUAUUUGCAGUGUGUAAUUCAAUUACAAUCUUCAGUAGAUAUUUGAAUUGUAGUGAUGAAUGAAGUUGUCCUCCCUUCCAGAUAUAAAUCCUGCAAAGGCUAUUUUUGUAGCAUCAGGUGCUGUUCCACAAAGUUAUCAUAGGGAUAAGGUGAUCUAUCAUAGCACUAAGGUGAUCGGUCGUAGCACUAAGGUGAUCAAUUGCAGAGCAAAGGUGAUCGAUCAUGGCGUUAAGGUGAUCAAUCGCAGCGUAAAGGUGAUCGAUCGUAGCGCUAGGGUGGUUGAUCUUAGCACUAAGAUGAUCCAUCAUAGCGUUAAGGUGAUUGAUCUUAGCUCUAAAAUGAUUGAUCUUAGCGCUAAGGUGAUUGAUCAUUGUGCUAAGAUGAUCGAUUGUAGCAGUAAGAUGGAAA